GUGCUCACUUCAGCAGCGCAUCUACUAAAAUGGGAAGGAUACAGAGAAGAUUAGCAUGGCCCCUGUGCAAGGAUUACACACGAAUUCAUGAAGCGUUGCUUAUUUUU
ensembl:snRNA U6 U6 spliceosomal RNA